rnacentral:tRNA from 1 species
UCUAAAUUGGCAGAAUAAGUGUAAUAGAGUUUAGAACUCUUAUAUAAAUUAAUAUUUAUUUAGAA